rnacentral:lncRNA from 1 species
UAGGCCAGGUUGGGUCGGCCUCCCAAAACGACAUCGUUUUGGCACCUGGGGAGGCCAAGUGAAACGGCGUCGUUUCACUAGGCUAUUUAAGCCAAGAACUUUUAAAAAAAAUUCAUUUUCUCAUUGUUUUUAAAAAAAAACAGAAAUCCUUUUAAAAAAGGCUCUCCCCUCCCAGUUCUCUGGCCAAGGUAAGGGAAUCAGCCAGUCGUCAGCCACCGCGCCGGCUUUAAGCAAAAAAAAAUUUAAAAAAAAUCAUUUUCUCAUUGUUUUUAAAAAAAACAGAAAUCCUUUUGAAAAAGGCUCUCCCCUCCCCAGUUCUUCGGC